rnacentral:rRNA from 1 species
GUGCCAGCAGCCGCGGUAAUACGAAGGGGGCUAGCGUUGUUCGGAAUUACUGGGCGUAAAGCGCACGCAGGCGGUCUGUAUAGUCAGAAGUGAAAGCCCUGGGCUCAACCCGGGAACUGCUUUUGAUACUGGCAGACUAGAAUCCGAGAGAGGGUAGUGGAAUUCCCAGUGUAGAGGUGAAAUUCGUAGAUAUUGGGAAGAACACCAGUGGCGAAGGCGACUACCUGGCUCGGUAUUGACGCUCAUGUGCGAAAGCGUGGGGAGCAAACAGGAUUAGAAACCCCAGUAGUCC